GGGGGGAUAGCUCAGUUGGGAAGAUCUGGGCUUAGUUUACCUUGCGGUUGUUUCCGUAAGGUUGUAGGUUCGAAUCCUGCUCCCCUCU